GACGAACGCUGGCGGCGUGCUUAACACAUGCAAGUCGAACGGAAAGGCCCUGCUUUUGUGGGGUGCUCGAGUGGCGAACGGGUGAGUAACACGUGAGUAACCUGCCCUUGACUUUGGGAUAACUUCAGGAAACUGGGGCUAAUACCGGAUAGGAGCUCCUGCUGCAUGGUGGGGGUUGGAAAGUUUCGGCGGUUGGGGAUGGACUCGCGGCUUAUCAGCUUGUUGGUGGGGUAGUGGCUUACCAAGGCUUUGACGGGUAGCCGGCCUGAGAGGGUGACCGGCCACAUUGGGACUGAGAUACGGCCCAGACUCCUACGGGAGGCAGCAGUGGGGAAUAUUGCACAAUGGGCGGAAGCCUGAUGCAGCAACGCCGCGUGCGGGAUGACGGCCUUCGGGUUGUAAACCGCUUUCGCCUGUGACGAAGCGUGAAUGACGGUAAUGGGUAAAGAAGCACCGGCUAACUACGUGCCAGCUGCCGCGGUGAUACGUAGGGUGCGAGCGUUGUCCGGAUUUAUUGGGCGUAAAGGGCUCGUAGGUGGUUGAUCGCGUCGGAAGUGUAAUCUUGGGGCUUAACCCUGAGCGUGCUUUCGAUACGGGUUGACUUGAGGAAGGUAGGGGAGAAUGGAAUUCCUGGUGGAGCGGUGGAAUGCGCAGAUAUCAGGAGAAACACCAGUGGCGAAGGCGGUUCUCUGGGCCUUUCCUGACGCUGAGGAGCGAAAGCGUGGGGAGCGAACAGGCUUAGAUACCCUGGUAGUCCACGCUGUAAACGGUGGGUACUAGGUGUGGGGUCCAUUCCACGGGUUCCGUGCCGUAGCUAACGCUUUAAGUACCCCGCCUGGGGAGUACGGCCGCAAGGCUAAAACUCAAAGGAAUUGACGGGGCCCCGCACAAGCGGCGGAGCAUGCGGAUUAAUUCGAUGCAACGCGUAGAACCUUACCUGGGUUUGACAUGGAUCGGGAGUGCUCAGAGAUGGGUGUGCCUCUUUUGGGGUCGGUUCACAGGUGGUGCAUGGCUGUCGUCAGCUCGUGUCGUGAGAUGUUGGGUUAAGUCCCGCAACGAGCGCAACCCUUGUUCACUGUUGCCAGCACGUUAUGGUGGGGACUCAGUGGAGACCGCCGGGGUCAACUCGGAGGAAGGUGGGGAUGACGUCAAGUCAUCAUGCCCCUUAUGUCCAGGGCUUCACGCAUGCUACAAUGGCUGGUACAGAGAGUGGCGAGCCUGUGAGGGUGAGCGAAUCUCGGAAAGCCGGUCUCAGUUCGGAUUGGGGUCUGCAACUCGACCUCAUGAAGUCGGAGUCGCUAGUAAUCGCAGAUCAGCAACGCUGCGGUGAAUACGUUCCCGGG
rnacentral:rRNA from 1 species